AUGCAGCACGCCCUCAGCAGGAACCGGAGGAUCCUCCUGCCAACCCCGCGCUGGCCCUGCCUCUUGCCCUGGGUGCUGGCUGUGGAGUCUGUGGUGUCAGUGGUGGCUGCGGUCCCAGCCCCCUCAGGCUCACGGGCAGCUGCGGCGGCUUCUGGCUCUGCGAGGUCCACACGGCUCCUGGCACUGGGGCUGGAGGGCGACACCUUGGAGGCUGGCUUGGGGGCGGUGCUGGGAGCAGGGCUCCUCUCCUGCUGUGGCUGGCCUGGUAGGAGAAAGUCAAGAGUGGGGUCACCUCGGGGGCCUUGGGCUCAGCUCCUGGAGGCCCCAAAGAGGCAGGGGAUGAGGGGAGUGGGCAAGACUCACUGGAGACUUUGGGGGAGUCGGGGGCGGCGCUGGGAGCAGGGCUCCUCUCCUGCUGUGGCUGUCCUGGUAGGAGAGAGUCAAGAGUGGGGUGACCAAGGGGGCCUAGGGCUCAGCCCCAAGAGUGCCCGAGGUGGCUGGGGCUGGGAGGGAGAGGGGAAGACUCACUGGAGACUUUGGGGGAGUCAGGGGCAGCACUGGGAGCAGGGCUCCUCUCCUGCUGUGGCUGGCCUGGUAGGAAAGAGUCAAGAGUGGGGUCACCUCGGGGCCUUGGGCUCAGCUCCUGGAGGCCCCAAAGUGGCAGGGGAUGUGGGGAGUGGGCAAGACUCACUGGAGGGCUCGAAGAGUCGGGGGUGGCGCUGGGAGCAGGGCUCCUCUCCUGCUGUGGCUGGCCUGGUAGGGGAGAGUCAAAAGUGGGGUCACCUCGGAGCCUUGGGCUCAGCUCUUGGAGGGCCUGAGGCAGGGAGAGGGCAAGACUCACUGGGGGCCUCGGAGGAGUCGCUUUGUGCGGAGGAAACGUUGACGGCCAUGCUGUCACAGGACACUGACACCAGAGCCAAGCCGUCGUCCUCUAUGGGGGGGGCACUUGCUGUUCUGCGAGGACUUGGGCAGGGACGUGGAGUCCUGGGACUGAGGGCCUGGCGUCCCCUCGGUCCCCGUGCCUGGCAGCAGGCCGAGGCCCACCAGGUACUCCCUGGCCUCCAGGUCCCGGGGAACUCCCAGGGGCUGCAGCAGGGUGACCGCGUCCUCCUCGUGCUCCUGGGCAGCUUCUCGGCUGGGGCCGAACCACGAGUGGGUCCUGGCGUCCUCCGCACUGGCCUCCCCGAGGCAUCGAUGGUGAGCAGCCACGCCAGCAGCUCCUGCAGGGCUGGGCUGAUGCCACGUGGCACCACGUAG
rnacentral:lncRNA from 1 species